GGAGCUUUUUUGGAGCCGUUGCACCUCUCUUUAAACCAACAAGCUUCAGCCCCUCCUUUAACCAAAAGCUUCAGCUACGCCUUUUACCCCAAAAAACUGAGACGAGUAUCUGAAGUAGCUGAUCCGGGGCCGAAAAUAGUAGAUCUGGUUGAUGCGCUCCAGUUUGCUGCGCUCAAACAGGUCAGUUUUUUUCUUCUUCUUGUGAUGAUUUUGCUUCUUUUUUAAAUCACAUUUUUAGGUGUUAUCAAUUAGUUUAGUACUCAUUCUUAGGUAUCAUGAAGGUAGGUGGUGGUAAUAUAUUCUAUUAAUUCUAAGCAAUGUGUAGAAGCAAAUCACGAGUGUAUAAUUUUAAUAUAAGCAAUCUUUAGAACUUAUUACCACUGGUAUUUUUUUCAAGUUGUAUGUAUAAAGGAUCGGGUACUCUGCUUGUGUGUUUAAUCCUGUUACAGAUCAUAUCGUAAGGAUUUAUUUAUUCAUCAUUAAUAAAUCUGUAAGUAGCAUGUUAUAUUCAUAUAUGAUGUUGAGCAUAAAUUUUAGGCAUAGAUUGUUACUGAUCCUUGUUUUUAAACGUGAAAGUAGACCUUUAUUAGAAGGUAUGCUUAGACCAUGUUAAUAAUUAAUGUAUCGAUUAAGGUAUUUAGUAGAAGGCAUGUAUCUAGGCGUUAAUCACCUAUGUGUUUAAGCAAAAGAUGAUUAAUGUGUAUGAGACUUUCAUAACCUCAAAACCAUGCCUAUAGUUUUCAUGCCAAUACUUUGUGGAAUAUAUGUGUACUUUGUUA
rnacentral:lncRNA from 1 species